GCAUCAAGCGUGUAAAGCCUCACCUCCGUUCAUUCAAAUGAGGCGCGCCCCUUCUUGGUUUGACUACACAUGCUUAGUCUUUAGGAUUUGCUUUCACUAUUACAAAACCCUUGUAUGCUGAUCCAUAUAAAUAUGUAAUCUCUCCAUAAUAAUAAAUCAGAUAGUUCUAAACAAUCUUUCUCUUUGCUCAUUUCACUAUGAUUCUCUAUUAGUCUCUAAGUAGUCUCUUAAUCUCUUAUUCUCCUUCUCUAAUCCUUUCUAAACUCAGAUAAUCCUUUACAUUCCUAAAAAUCAUAGCGAGAUUGAAGACAAUGGAGUCCAUACUAUCCAGGCUUGGACUCAU
rnacentral:lncRNA from 1 species